rfam:Otolemur garnettii contig078702, whole genome shotgun sequence.
CAGAUAAGAACGAGCAAGGUCUUGAAGAUGGUAAGUGGCUCUGUUUUUCACACACCCAACAGGAAUCUGGGGUGCUUGUGACAAGGGGCACACAAAACUUGUAGCCUCCCUGUGAACAAAUUCCCUACAUGU